AGGGAUUGCCUCAGUAACGGCGAGUGAAGCGGCAACAGCUCAAAUUUGAAAUCUGGCUCCUUCGGGGUCCGAGUUGUAAUUUGCAGAGGAUGCGUCGGGUACGGGUCCCUACCGAGUUCCCUGGAACGGGACGCCAUAGAGGGUGAGAGCCCCGUCUGGUAGGAUACCCAGCCCAUGUGACGCUCCCUCGACGAGUCGAGUAGUUUGGGAAUGCUGCUCUAACGGGAGGUAUACUCCUUCCAAAGCUAAAUACCGGCUGGAGACCGAUAGCGCACAAGUAGAGUGAUCGAAAGAUGAAAAGCACUUUGAAAAGAGAGUCAAACAGCACGUGAAAUUGUUAAAAGGGAAGCACUCGCUACCAGACUUGGGUUUGGCGGUUCAACCGGGGCCACGCCCCGGGGCAUUCCGCCAGCUCAGGCCAGCAUCAGCUUUCCGUCGGGGGCAAAGACGUCGGGAAUGUGGCUCCCCCUCGGGGGAGUGUUAUAGCCCGGCGUGUCAUACCCUUCGGGGGGCUGAGGUACGCGCUUCUGCAAGGAUGCUGGCGUAAUGGUAGCUAGUGACCCGUCUUG
rnacentral:rRNA from 2 species